rnacentral:rRNA from 1 species
AUUGAACGCUGGCGGCAUGCCUUACACAUGCAAGUCGAACGGCAGCACGGGGGCAACCCUGGUGGCGAGUGGCGAACGGGUGAGUAAUACAUCGGAACGUAUCCUGUAGCGGGGGAUAACCUCUCGAAAGAGAGGCUAAUACCGCAUACGACCCAAGGGUGAAAGAGGGGGAUCGCAAGACCUCUCACUAUUGGAGCGGCCGAUGUCGGAUUAGCUAGUUGGCGGGGUAAAGGCCCACCAAGGCGACGAUCCGUAGCUGGUCUGAGAGGAUGAUCAGCCACACUGGAACUGAGACACGGUCCAGACUCCUACGGGAGGCAGCAGUGGGGAAUAUUGGACAAUGGGCGCAAGCCUGAUCCAGCCAUGCCGCGUGGGUGAAGAAGGCCU